rnacentral:tRNA from 1 species
UGAUCCGCAUGGCGUGGCACAGCGCCGGCACCUACCGAGUGCAGGACGGCCGCGGCGGGGCGGGGUACGGCACCCAGCGGUUCGCCC